rnacentral:rRNA from 1 species
GAACGCUGGCGGCGUGCCUAAUACAUGCAAGUCGAGCGAACGGACGAGAAGCUUGCUUCUCUGAUGUUAGCGGCGGACGGGUGAGUAACACGUGGAUAACCUACCUAUAAGACUGGGAUAACUUCGGGAAACCGGAGCUAAUACCGGAUAAUAUUUUGAACCGCAUGGUUCAACAGUGAAAGACGGUCUUGCCGUCACUUAUAGAUGGAUCCGCGCUGCAUUAGCUAGUUGGUAAGGUAACGGCUUACCAAGGCAACGAUGCAUAGCCGACCUGAGAGGGUGAUCGGCCACACUGGAACUGAGACACGGUCCAGACUCCUACGGGAGGCAGCAGUAGGGAAUCUUCCGCAAUGGGCGAAAGCCUGACGGAGCAACGCCGCGUGAGUGAUGAAGGUCUUCGGAUCGUAAAACUCUGUUAUUAGGGAAGAACAUAUGUGUAAGUAACUGUGCACAUCUUGACGGUACCUAAUCAGAAAGCCACGGCUAACUACGUG